UACGUAGGGUGCGAGCGUUGUCCGGAAUUAUUGGGCGUAAAGAGCUCGUAGGCGGUGUGUCGCGUCUGCUGUGAAAAUCCGGGGCUCAACCCCGGACUUGCAGUGGGUACGGGCAGACUAGAGUGUGGUAGGGGAGACUGGAAUUCCUGGUGUAGCGGUGAAAUGCGCAGAGUAUCAGGAGGAACACCGUGGCGAAGGCGGGUCUCGUGGGCCGUAACUGACGCUGAGGAGCGAAAGCAUGGGGAGC
rnacentral:rRNA from 1 species